AUUGAACGCUGGCGGCAGGCCUAACACAUGCAAGUCGAACGAGUGGCGGACGGGUGAGUAAUGUCUGGGAAACUGCCUGAUGGAGGGGGAUAACUACUGGAAACGGUAGCUAAUACCGCAUACCAUCGGAUGUGCCCAGAUGGGAUUCGCUAGUAGGUGGGGUAAAGGCUCACCUAGGCGACGAUCCCUAGCUGGUCUGAGAGGAUGACCAGCACAACGGGAAUUGAGACAGGGGCCAGACUCGUAGGUGAGGGGGCGGUGGGGAAUAUUGCACAAUGGGCGCAAGCCUGAGGCGGCCAUGCCGCGUGUAUGAAGAAGGCCUUCGGGUUGAAAAGUACUUUCAGCGGUGAGGCGUUACCGGCAGAAGAAGCACCGGCUAACUCCGGGCCAGCCGCCGCGGUAAUA
rnacentral:rRNA from 1 species